UAUCAAAAACAUUUCUUGGUGAAUUUUGAAUACUAGGUAAGGCCUGCUCUAUGAUAUGAUUUAAUGGCUGCAGUAUAUUAACUGUACAAAGGUAGCAUAAUAAUUAGUUUUUUAAUUGGAGACUUGUAUGAAAGGUUUUAUGAAAUUAAAGCUUUAUUUUAGUAAUUUAUAUAAUUUUAUUUUUAUGUGAAAAGGCAUAGAUAAGUAUAUUAGACGAGAAGACCCUAUAGAUUUUUAUAAAUAUUAUAAUAGAGUUAGUAAGAAUUAAAAAUUUUUAUUUAUAGAUAUUAUUUAGUUGGGGUGACUUUUGAAUUUAAGAAAUUUUAGGAGUAAAGUUUUACAUUGAUGAGUGAUUUGUUGAUCCAAUUAUUUUGAUUAUUAGAUUAAAAUACCUUAGGGAUAACAGCAUAAUUUAUUUGGAAAGUUCAUAUUUAUAAAUAAGUUUAUGACCUCGAUGUUGGAUUAAAAUUAAUUUUAGAAGCAGAAAUUUAUGAUUUA
rnacentral:rRNA from 1 species